GACGAACGCUGGCGGCGUGCUUAACACAUGCAAGUCGAACGGAAAGGCCCUGCUUUUGUGGGGUGCUCGAGUGGCGAACGGGUGAGUAACACGUGAGUAACCUGCCCUUGACUUUGGGAUAACUUCAGGAAACUGGGGCUAAUACCGGAUAGGAGCUCCUGCUGCAUGGUGGGGGUUGGAAAGUUUCGGCGGUUGGGGAUGGACUCGCGGCUUAUCAGCUUGUUGGUGGGGUAGUGGCUUACCAAGGCUUUGACGGGUAGCCGGCCUGAGAGGGUGACCGGCCACAUUGGGACUGAGAUACGGCCCAGACUCCUACGGGAGGCAGCAGUGGGGAAUAUGGCACAAUGGGCGGAAGCCUGAUGCAGCAACGCCGCGUGCGGGAUGACGGCCUUCGGGUGGGAAACCGCUUUCGCCUGUGACGAAGCGUGAGGGACGGGAAUGGGUAAAGAAGCACCGGCGAACUACGU
rnacentral:rRNA from 1 species